GCCUGAUUAGUGGCGAACGGGUGAGUAACACGUGAGUAACCUGCCCUCCGCUUCGGGAUAACCUCGGGAAAUCGUGGCUAAUACCGGAUAUGAGCACUCAUCGCAUGGUGGGUGUUGGAAAGAUUUAUCGGUGGGGGAUGGACUCGCGGCCUAUCAGUUUGUUGGUGAGGUGAUGGCUCACCAAGACGAUGACGGGUAGCCGGCCUGAGAGGGCGACCGGCCACACUGGGACUGAGACACGGCCCAGACUCCUACGGGAGGCAGCAGUGGGGAAUAUUGCACAAUGGGCGAAAGCCUGAUGCAGCGACGCCGCGUGGGGGAUGACGGCCUUCGGGUUGUAAACCCCUUUCAGUAGGGAAGAAGCGAGAGUGACGGUACCUGCAGAAGAAGCGCCGGCUAACUACGUGCCAGCAGCCGCGGUAAUACGUAGGGCGCAAGCGUUGUCCGGAAUUAUUGGGCGUAAAGAGCUUGUAGGUGGCUUGUCGCGUCUGCCGUGAAAACCCGAGGCUCAACCUCGGGCGUGCGGUGGGUACGGGCAGGCUAGAGUGUGGUAGGGGAGACUGGAACUCCUGGUGUAGCGGUGAAAUGCGCAGAUAUCAGGAAGAACACCGAUGGCGAAGGCAGGUCUCUGGGCCAUUACUGACACUGAGAAGCGAAAGCAUGGGUAGCGAACAGGAUUAGAUACCCUGGUAGUCCAUGCCGUAAACGUUGGGCACUAGGUGUGGGGGACAUUCCACGUUUUCCGCGCCGUAGCUA
rnacentral:rRNA from 1 species